rnacentral:rRNA from 1 species
CAGUCGAACGGCAGCACGGGAGCUUGCUCCUGGUGGCGAGUGGCGAACGGGUGAGUAAUAUAUCGGAACGUGCCCUAGAGUGGGGGAUAACUAGUCGAAAGAUUAGCUAAUACCGCAUACGAUCUACGGAUGAAAGUGGGGGAUCGCAAGACCUCAUGCUCAUGGAGCGGCCGAUAUCUGAUUAGCUAGUUGGUGGGGUAAAAGCUCACCAAGGCGACGAUCAGUAGCUGGUCUGAGAGGACGACCAGCCACACUGGAACUGAGACACGGUCCAGACUCCUACGGGAGGCAGCAGUGGGGAAUUUUGGACAAUGGGCGCAAGCCUGAUCCAGCAAUGCCGCGUGAGUGAAGAAGGCCUUCGGGUUGUAAAGCUCUUUUGUCAGGGAAGAAACGGUCUUGGUUAAUACCUGGGGCUAAUGACGGUACCUGAAGAAUAAGCACCGGCUAACUACGUGCCAGCAGCCGCGGUAAUACGUAGGGUGCAAGCGUUAAUCGGAAUUACUGGGCGUAAAGCGUGCGCAGGCGGUUAUACAAGACAGAUGUGAAAUCCCCGGGCUCAACCUGGGAAUUGCAUUUGUGACUGUAUGGCUAGAGUGUGUCAGA